rnacentral:rRNA from 1 species
CCUACGGGCGGCAGCAGUAAGGAAUAUUGGGCAAUGGACGAAAGUCUGACCCAGCCAUGCCGCGUGAAGGAUGAAGGUCCUCUGGAUUGUAAACUUCUUUUAUCUGGGGCGAAAACCACCCUUUCUAGGGUAUUUGACAGUACCAGAUGAAUAAGCACCGGCUAACUCCGUGCCAGCAGCCGCGGUAAUACGGAGGGUGCGAGCGUUAUCCGGAUUCACUGGGUUUAAAGGGUGCGUAGGCGGGCAGGUAAGUCAGUGGUGAAAUCUUCGAGCUUAACUCGGAAACUGCCGUUGAUACUAUCUGUCUUGAAUUUAGUGGAGGUAAGCGGAAUAUGUCAUGUAGCGGUGAAAUGCUUAGAUAUGACAUAGAACACCAAUUGCGAAGGCAGCUUGCUACACUAUUAUUGACGCUGAGGCACGAAAGCGUGGGGAUCAAACAGGAUUAGAUACCCCAGUAGUC